rnacentral:rRNA from 1 species
UACAGAGGGGGCAAGCGUUAUUCGGAAUUAUUGGGUCGUAAAGGGCGCGUUGAGGCGGCCUGGCAAGUUGGAAUGGUGAAAUCCCUCGGCUUAACCGAGGAACUGCCAUCCAGACUGCUUGGCUUGAGACCGGGAGAGGUGAGUGGAAUUCCAUGUGUAGCGGUGAAAUGCGUAGAUAUUGGGAGGAACACCAGUGGCGAAGGCGGCUCACUGGACCGGUACUGACGCUGAGGCGCGAAAGCGAUGGGGAGCGUACGGA